AUGCUAUUCAGGGAUGUGUAUGAGUUUAGAGCAGCAUUGAGGGACUAUGUGAUAGGUGAAGGUGUUGAGAUUGUGAGAUUGAAAAAUGAGAAGUCUAGGGUUCGUGCAAUUUGUGCUGACCUUAGUUGCAACUGGUAUAUUUUUGCUUCCCCUACCGCUGAUGGUAUUACAUUUCAGAUUAAAGUGUACAAUAGUGACCACAUCUGUGUUAGAAGUUCAAAAAAUACCAAUGCCACAUCAACAUGGAUAGCUCAAAAACUAGCUAAACCGUUGAAGGCUAAUCCUAAUAUGUCUUAUGAAAGCAUGGGAGAAACUUUGAUGGAAAAUUAUGGGGUUGAGGUUGAUAGAAGCAGAUUGUAUAGAGCAAGAAAGAGAGGAAAGGGAGAGGAUGUAGGUAGCCAUUCUAAUAGUUAUAAGAAGCUUGCCAUGUAUGCUCAGCUUGUAAGGCAAACCAAUCCUGGAAGCUAUGUGAAGAUGCAAUUAGAUAGGCUUGAUAUUACACAAAAUCCUACAUUCAAGAGGUUCUUUGUGUGCUUUGAAGCUAUGAGGAGGGGUUUUGUUGAAGGUUGUAGGCCUUUUAUAGGACUAAAUGGUUGCCACUUGAAAGGAAAUUUUGGUGGGGUGCUAUUGGCAACAGUUUCACUUUAUGGAAACAAUGGCCUAUUUCCAGUUGCUUAUGGGGUGGUGGAAUGUGAGUGUAAAGACAGCUGGAGAUGGUUUCUUACAUGCUUGAAAACCAUUAUUGGUCAAAGUUCAUCAGGAGUUUCAUAUGUUAUUAUGUCAGAUAAACAAAAGGUAUGGAUAUUAAAGUUGUGCUAUUUUUUUUUUAAUAACUAUUAUAAAGAUAUUACAGUUCCUAUAAUUGUGUCUUCUUAAGAAUUUUUUGUUAUUGAUAGGGCUUGAUUGAAGCUAUUCCUGAUGUUAUGCCUGAGUGUCAAGUUAGGCAUUGUACAAGACAUUUGUGUAACAACUUUAGAGGAAAACAUUCUGGGCUAGCAUUGACGGAUAAUUUUUGGUGUGUAGUAAAAGCGUAUAAUCUAUUCCUUUUUGAGAAAGCUAUGCAAGGUCUCCAAAAAUUAUCAAAGGAAGCAUUUGAUUGGUUGGAUGAAAAACCUAAGUCACAAUGGGCUAGACAUGCAUUUGACCCAAGAUCUGUUAGUCCACACAUCACAAACAACAUGACAGAGUCUUUUAAUAGUUGGGUUGAUGAUUUGCGUGGGAAGACAAUAUUGACAUUGGUGGAGCAAGUGAGGCUUAAACUAAUGGAAAAGCUACAUGAGCGAUACACUAAUGGAUGCAAUUGGGAAACAAAGGUCACACCAGAAGCAUGGGAAAAGAUUGAGUUGGCUAAAAAAGAUUCAUUAUUCUGUAAGCUUAUACCAGCAGGCGAUGAUGAGUUUCAAGUAAUAGAUGGUUAUACAAGUUUUGCAAUAAACUUACGGACCAAAAAAUGUCCUUGUGGUGUUUGGGAAAUUAGUGGCUUGCUUUGCAAGCAUGCAGCAAAAUGUAUCACAUACAAAAGGGCAGACAUUCAAGAUUAUUGUGAUCCAUUCUACUCCACGAGCAUGUACAUUCGUGCCUACAGCCAAAUCCUUCACCCAAUGCCUGAUAUUGAUAUGUUACCUAAGGGUGAGUUGGAGACAGGCCAAGACACUGUGCUUCCUCCAAAACGGAAAAAAUUGAUUGGUAGACCAAAGAAGAAGAGAAAAAGAGAGCAAGGUGAACGUGCACCAGGGCUACAAGAAGCAAGGAGGUCAUGCACUGUGAGGUGUACUUCUUGCAAAGAGUUUGGUCACAACAAGAGGACAUGCCAGGGAGCUACAGUUGGUAGCGCAGGCAGAAGCAAAGGGAAGAAAGGGCAAAAUGUAAGUUGGUAUAUGUUUGGUUUAAGAAAUUAGUUGUUAGAAUUUCUAUUUUGAUGGAAGAGUGUUUUGUGAAUAUUCUUUGUGUUUUAAUUUAGAGCAAAAAUAAUGUGCAAGAACAUCAAGAGGGAGGGUCAAGAGUGGUUGAACAUAGGCUGGUAAGUUGUUUAGAUUGCUUGUGGUCAAACAAACCAUCAUCCAAUUUACUAUUAUAUCUUAUAAUUAGUUGAAGUAUCACAUGUUUGACUUUUAUGCUUACAUUUUUAAUACAAUUCUUCCAUGUCAUGUGCCAAGGAAACAAGCAGGGGUGAUCAACGUGGCACACAAUCCAGUCAAAUAAACAUACAAGCAUCUUUAACAUCUAACAUUUCUAGCAAGGAAAAAUGAAUUACACAUGGUGCAGCGAGAUAGGUGACCAAUGAAGAAAGGGAAGACAAGUUUUGAAAACCAACCUUGUAGGAGUGCAAGAAUUGCUAGUGAUUGUUAGACAUUUUGACAGCUUUUUGUGUUUGCAAGUGGAGUGCAAACUUGUUUUGGAACUUCUUUUUAGUGUAAUGUUGAUAACUCUGAUUCAAGUCAAUUUGUUGUAGCCAUUUUUCUCAAAUUUAUUGGCUAAAGGAUAUACUUGUCCAAAGUCACUAUAUUUUUCUUUUUAGCUGCCUUUCUAAUUUAACGUUAGAUGGUAAAGAAUAAGCUUUUGUGAGUUUGUUUACCAAUCAAUCAAAUUGACUCCGAAAGCUUUUUAUAUUGAUAAGUGACUUUGAAAAUUUCAAACUCAUUUUUAAACAAUAAAAGCUUGAAAGCUCCGGCAAAUUGUUUUAUAUCAUAAAUUUUGAUCCAAAGUGUUGGAGAGAGGUGCAAUUAAAAAAUCUAAGAGGAUCAUCAAACUUUAAAAAAAUCAAUUGGAAAGGUUCUGGAAGAGACUAAAAAAUCCACAUAAGCAACAUGUUUUAUAAUAUGCUCUUUUCAUUUUUUAUUUUAUUUUAUUUUAUGUGAAUGCUCUUUUCACUAACUAUGGUUAAACUUUAGUAAAGAGAAUCUUUUAAAAAAUUGGAAUAUUCUGUUAUUAAUAUUAACAGAAAGGGGGGAGUGUUAUUUUUUUCAAACCUUAGAGGGGGGAGUGUUUUUUCCCUUCAAGUUCGGGGGUAAGUGUCAUUUUUCCAAAUCUCAAGGGAGGGAAGUGUUAUUUGCCCUAAAAACAUUUUCUAUAUCUUGAAAACACCCCUUAGGUUUCUCAAAAAAAAAAAAAAAAAAAAAAAAAACCCUUAGCUGAUUUCAAAAUCCUAUUCUAAGCCAGAAAAUUAAGAUACAAUUUUUUAAAAAUUAUAUUUAAAAAAUAUUAGUUAAAUAAUAAAUUUAAGCCUAGACCCAUUAUUUUAUGAAUGACAAAACAAAAACUAUAUUUAAAUAUUCUUACCAAACACGUUCUAAAACUCACUCGCUCUCUCAUCCUUCCUGAAAAACCUCAUAUUCCCAGCUUACAAUAUUAAAAUCUAUAAGGCCUUUACUGUAGCUUCUUUCUCCUCCAGAGCCUUACCAUCCCAACAUUUUGAUCACAGGACCAAUGCAAUUCACCAAUCUCUAUUCUGGUUAUUGUACUGAACCCCAACUCUUAAACAGCUUUAGCAGCUACAACUCUCAAACCAAGACACCACAAUUGGAAGACCCCAUCAGCCUCACUAUAAAUCCAUAUGUAACAACUUCAGCGAUAGGCUGACACGAACCCAAGUUCUUUAACUACUCCACCACCACUUCGUGACUCCGAACCAUCGUAGCAUAGUCCUAGAAUUUCAUCAAACAGUGAAUUUAACUUCUUCUGUUUUUAAUAAACCAAAAGCUUCAAAAUUGCAAAAACACUCAAUUGCCUUUCCUUCUGCCAUUGCAAUCCCACGAUUCGCAAACCCCAAAAAGAACAACAACCCCAUUUGCCAAUGCAGUCCACAAUCCACAUAUAUCUCUGGAUUUGGUAGUGGUUUGCCGGAGAAGAGAAGGAAGAAGAAGAUAAAGACAAAAAAAUUUAAAUGCAAUUGAAAACAGAUCCUCUAUUAAAUAUACCUUUAAAAUGAUAUUUAAUAUUUCACGUGACUACAUUUUUAUUUUUUGUCCAUUUCAUUGGAUUGAUUUGGACUUUUAUCAAAACCUGGGGGCUUUUAGUUUCAAUUAGAAGAAUAAAUGCUCAAUUAGAUUUUGAUCCAAAAUUCAAAAGAUGCUUUUAAAUUUUACAUUUUUUUUUAGAAAUAUUACAUUCUCAACAUUUUUACAACAAUCCUAAGUGAUAGACAUGUUGUUAGUUGUAGUUAUUGAUGGGUAAUAAAGUAAUUUCAAUGACGACUUUAGAUUAAAACCAAUAUCAAUUUUCUUACUUAUAAUUUGUUAUGAAAAUGUUGUAAAAGUAGUUUUUUUUUUUUUUUUAAUGAAAUCUUUGAUGGUUUUGUUUUGUUGAUGUUUGUAAUUGCCUCAGUUUUGGUGAUAAACUUCAAAUCUUGGUUUCAAGUUUUUUGUCUUAUCAGUUUUAUCAGCCAAUAGAAUCACUCCAAUGUUAACGCCAUUGAUUCUCAGCAAAGUUCCCUUCUGCCAUCAUUUUUCAUUCAGCUAUAUUAUGGACCUCAAAAUUAGUCUUUCUAUAAGUAUGAUUUACAAAACAAUCAAUAAAGGAGUUCAAAACAUGCUUAUGGCCUGUUUGGAUGGAGGGGGGGAAAGAGAGGGAGUAGAUGGGAGUAGAGUAGAGUUGGCUAAAAAAAUAAGCUAAUUUUAUUCUAAAUCUACUCUACUUUACUCUACUCUCCCUCCAUCUUCCUCAAUCCAAACGGACCAUUAGUCUUCGCAUGAUGCUUUCUAUAAACCAAUGAGCAGAGAUGGAGGAGUUCUUGAUAGAUUAAAUUACAUUCAUAGCAUCUCCUUCGCAUAUUACAAAUUUAUACCCCUGUUUCACUGCUUUUCUUCCUACUAGAUAAGUUGCUUUUGCUUCUGCUAUCAAAGGGUCUUCGUCUUUCAUAAGCUUUGUCUACAAAAACGAUUUCCCCUAUAUGAUUCCUGCCCUUUGUUGCAAUACAAUUUUUUUCCUCAUUGAUGGAUGCAUCAAAGUUGACUUUCAAAAAAAGGAGGCAAUGGAGGAUUCCAAAACCAACUUCUGUUAGACAUCACACCUACAAAUUCCCAACUAGUUACAUAAUCAACAUAUAUUUUAUUAAUUUGUCUAACUAAAAGCAAUGGAUUAGUAACUUCCCUUCCAAUCUGCUUUAACAUCUAGUUCCUUGUUAUCCAUAUUAUGUCAUAACAGAUUAUUGUGAACAAUAUGAAUUUGUUUGCAUCUUCUUUUGGGAGUCUCAUCUUACCUUUAGCUUGUAAGAUCAAACUCACCUGGUCAGUUAUGGAAUUGAACUGCACAUCCAAAAAUCUAGUAUGCUAAGGGGAAUUUGUCCAUAUAAUUUUUGCUACUAGGCAAUUUAUGAGAGGAUGUUCCAAGGCUUCCUUAUUGGCCUCACUUUGAAUGCACUCUUUUUCCUCUUUAUGAAAUCUUUCUUGAUUACUGAUCUAGUUGGAAUUAUUUGCCAAGCUAACUUCCACGGCAAUUGCUUGAGUCUUUCUUGAAUUUCAAUUUUCAAAGAUUUUCCAGCCCUUUGUAUCUAGUGGAGUACUCUCUAUCAUGGUUUUAAAAACUAGAACAGUCAAAGAACCAGAAAAGAGACCGGUUCUCGGUUUAACCCAGUUCUUGACUGAUUUUUCCCAAUUUUGACUGGUUUUUUUUGCCGAUUUUAACUGCGCCAAUUCUAAGUUUGGUUCAACCGGCUGGUCCAAUUCGGUUUUUAGAACAGUACUCUCUAUAUUGCUAUCAUGUUGAGUAAAUUGAUAGGCUGACUUUAUAGAAAAUUUACCUGACAAAUUGAGGACCCAUAUUAAUGAUGGGUAGACUAGGGCAACUGAAUUUGGAGGAUUUUCUUUGCUGAUUCUCUGUCUUUUUAUUUAUUUAUUUAUUUUUAUGAAACUUUGCUGAUUCUCUGUCAAAGAUCUCCCUAAUUUUGACUUUAUUCCACUUAAUAGGAUUUUGUAAAAUAAGCCUUGGAGACCUAGGUAAGAUUAUUUAGGGAGGCUAUUCUUGAUUUUGGAUUGAAUCCCUUCAGUUGUGGUACCCAUGGAGCAUUCCAAAUGUCUAGGGCAAUUCCAUUCCCUAUCUUCCAACAAGCACCUUUUUCAUUUCCUUUUGUUGCAAGUGAAAAAGAGUGAUAAUAAAAUAUAGGAAAGUGAGAAAGAGAGAGGUGCAACAAAAUAGGCAAUGUUUUUAUUUAUUUUUAUUCCGCUAAUGUUUAUGACUAUUUUAUUUAUUGAUUUGUAUUUUUAAAUGAUGUGAAAUAUUUUGAUUGGAUCAAAUAUUAAGAUUGCAUUUUUUUUUUUUUUUGGUGUUAACAGUCAUAUCACCCACCAAUAUAAACGAAAAGAUGAGAUUUAAAACACUAAAUAACGUUAUUGACAAAAAUUCAUUUAAAAAAAAAACAUUUUUUGUUUGAAAAAAAAAAGAUUUUAUUUAUUCAAAAUUAUAUUGUAUAAUGGGAAAGAGAAAAGAAGAGUAUUAUUUUAAUCAAAUAAUGACCUCCUCAGUCUCUUUUGCAACACUAGCAAGUGCUAGAGCAGCUUGAUUACAUCUUAGAGGCACACCAACAAAAGAUACAUAACAGAAACUUUCACCUAUGACAUUUUUUUUUUAAGGAUUCAGCUAUUAAAUUAAUAUUCUUAGAAAUCCACACUACUACCAAUGGAACAAUGAUCUAAUAUUUAGAGGGUAUAAUUCAUGAUUUAAAAAAAAAUAUAUAAUGUAUCUAUACAAAUACUAAAAAAAUCCAAACUCAUCAUCCUUUAUUUCCAAAAUAGUUUCAUUCAAUUCCUAAUCUCUCUAUAUUCUUACCAUUCCAAAUAGGAAAAUAUUUUUAUGGAAUUUUUAUGCAACCCACUAAGUGGUUGUUAGAAAAAUUAUAUACAUGUACUUAAUGGCAUUUUUAAUAAGUCAUGUGACUUAUUUAAAUAAUACAUGUGAUUUUUUAACUAUCGCGUGGUGGGUUACAUAAAAAUUCAUGCAAUCUAAGUUGCACAAAAACCUUAGGGCAUGUUUAACAACUUUUUUUUUUUAUAUCAAUUUUCUGUUUUCAAAAGUUAUUUUCUAUUUCUACAACAAAAGAGCUAUUUUUUGUUUUGAAAACACGGUGAAAUCAAGUGUACUUAAUGAGGUCCAUGCUUUGAAUCUUGGCUAAAACAAAACAAAACAAAAAAUAAAUAAAUAAAACCAAAAGCUCAAGAACAAAGUUGAGAAUGUGUGGCCAAACCCAAACCCACUAUUAUUAUCAUUAUUAUUAUUAUUAUUAUUAAACAUUGAUAAGGGAAAAUAAGAAAUACUCACUUUUGUUUUGAUCUAACCAAAACAUGUUUUUAAUUUUGGAAACACAAUAAAACUGCUUUUCGUUUUCAUUCUCAAAAACAAGUUUUUUGAAAGCAAAAUACAAAAAUAAUUACCAAAUAUUGCCUUACUCUUCCAAAUAUUUCCAAUUCUCAUCUCCUAGAUGGUUCAGGUUGGAAAUGCUAACAAGUAUUCUUAAGACAUUAACUAAUAAUCUAUUUUAAGAAAGUUUUAACAUUAAUUUUAUAGAAAAAAAAAAAAAAACUAUCAAAAUAUUAAUUAUUUUUUUCUUAUAAAAACUUUCUUUAAUUGAAUUAUUAACCAAUACUUUAAAAACACUCGUUAGCAUAAAUAUAAUUAAAAUUAUAUAUAUAAUUAUAUAUAUAUAUAUAUAAUUAUCAUUUAAUUGGUUUUAAAAACAGACAGCCACUCCUUUAUGAGUCAUAAUGUGAAAAAAGACAAGAGGUGUACUAUUUAAUAUUUAUCUACCCACCCGUUCGUUUCAUUCGUGGAUGUAACACAAUCUCUUUUCAUCUUUACAAUAUAGGAAAAUUCCGUUUAGACUUUUGGCCACAAAUCACAUAGGCAGAACCAGUUCUUUUUCAACUACAACGGUCUACAUUUUCCUUUUUUUGAUAGCCACCCUUCAAAAAAAAAAAAAGAAAAAAAAGUAAUAACUAAUAAGAUAAGAAAUCAGGGCCGUUGAUUGGUCUAUAAAUUACAACUAGAACUUAGGGUAAGCGUUGAAAUCUCCGCAACUGGCACACGCCGUUAGUUUAUAACAAUAUAUAUAUUUAUAUAUCUAUCAUAAUGAUAUAUUAAUUAUGGUGGGGUGUUUCUGUUUUUUUGGUAGCUGAAGAAAAGGAGGAGGAGAAUAAGAACUAACAAGAUCUUCUUCUGUAGAACAAGGUUCAUACACACACACACAAUCUGGCUAGAGAGAGGUCAGAUCUCUGUCUCAACCAUUUAUAUUUCAUUUUUUCUUUCUGGGUUUUUGUUUUUUCAAUACAAAAACAUGUUUUUUGGUUUGUUUGUUGUUGCUGCUUGUUCUUAUGUUGUUUGUUUUAUUGGGGUGUAGUUGAUUGUAAAUCAAUGUUUAUGUUCUUUUUUGUAUUGGGUACAAUCAUAAAUCCUAUGUUUUUAUGCUGCUGUGUUUGUAUCGAUUUAAUUCAUUCAUAGACCGUUGGAUAUAAGUGAAAGAAGAAAGAGAAUAUGAUUAAUCUAUAUGGAAUAUAAGAUGCUCAGCAUUUAAAGCAAUGGAGCAAAUUGGAUGGGUUUUAUUGCCUUAGUUUCUCGUAAAAUUCAUUCCAUUUGAUAUGUAUAGAAUAUGAUUGAUCUACAACCGGAAAUGUAAGGGGCUUUCUGUCGUAAUUUGUUUUGUUGUUUUUUCUUUAUGUAUCUAACAUGAAUGGAUAUGUUUAUCUGUUUCUUUUAUUUGUCUUUUCUUUUGGGUCAAUGGCAAAUUAUGCUCAAUUUCAUUGCUGAGGCCAUGAAAGAAUUGAGAUUGAUUUCCAUAAGCUCGGGAACUUAUUAUGGUUUAAAAAAAAAAAAAAAAAUUUGUAGUUUAUGACUGCAAUCUACUUGCAAUCAAACAUGGAUUACCUUUUAAGCUUCAUAUCUUAUAGUUCCUAGUGAAAUUCACCUUUUCCUGGUCAUAAGAAAGAAAAGGAAUUGGAGGUAACUAGAACAAACAAAAUUUUAGAAGCGAGCCUUCUUGAAGUAUUUUCAUUUUUCAAAUUUUCAUGGAGUAAGAGCAGUCUUAUGUAUAAGAAGGUUAAUGGGAGAUACAGAUUAAAAAGACAGCGAAAACUUUAAUACAUUUGUUUUGGUUCUUGGAAGUUUCUAUUGUGAAGUUUUCAAAUUUCUUCAUGGUUUUGCUUAAGAUAUCUUGUAUGUGUAUGCGCCUUUUUUGCCCCUUUUGAGACUAUACAUAUGCAUUUACUUCAACUGUCAUCCUUAACUCUUUUUUUUUUUUUUUUUUUUUUUUUUAUAAUUUAAUUUAAUUUUUACCCCCUUCUCUUUUCAUUCUAUAUAUCAGGCCGGCUUCUCUUAUGCAUGUUUGGGUUUGGUUUCUCCUAG
rnacentral:sRNA from 1 species